rnacentral:rRNA from 1 species
GGUCCUUAGUUGCUACGCAAGAGCACUCUAGGGAGACUGCCGGUGACAAACCGGAGGAAGGUGGGGAUGACGUCAAGUCCUCAUGGCCCUUAUGGGUAGGGCUUCACACGUCAUACAAUGGUCGGAACAGAGGGUUGCCAACCCGCGAGGGGGAGCUAAUCCCAGAAAACCGAUCGUAGUCCGGAUUGCACUCUGCAACUCGAGUGCAUGAAGCUGGAAUCGCUAGUAAUCGCGGAUCAGCAUGCCGCGGUGAAUACGUUCCCGGGUCUU